UCGGUGAUAGUGGCGCACGGGUGCGUAACGCGUGGGAAUCUACCCUUGGGUCCGGAAUAACUCAGAGAAAUUUGAGCUAAUACCGGAUGAUGACGUAAGUCCAAAGAUUUAUCGCCCAAGGAUGAGCCCGCGUAGGAUUAGCUUGUUGGUGAGGUAAAAGCUCACCAAGGCGACGAUCCUUAGCUGGUCUGAGAGGAUGAUCAGCCACACUGGGACUGAGACACGGCCCAGACUCCUACGGGAGGCAGCAGUGGGGAAUAUUGGACAAUGGGCGAAAGCCUGAUCCAGCAAUGCCGCGUGAGUGAUGAAGGCCUUAGGGUUGUAAAGCUCUUUUACCCGGGAAGAUAAUGACUGUACCGGGAGAAUAAGCCCCGGCUAACUCCGUGCCAGCAGCCGCGGUAAUACGGAGGGGGCUAGCGUUAUUCGGAAUUACUGGGCGUAAAGCGCGCGUAGGCGGUUUUUCAAGUCAGAGGUGAAAGCCCGGAGCUCAACUCCGGAAUUGCCUUUGAAACUGGAUCACUAGAAUCAUGGAGAGGUCAGUGGAAUUCCGAGUGUAGAGGUGAAAUUCGUAGAUAUUCGGAAGAACACCAGUGGCGAAGGCGACUGACUGGACAUGUAUUGACGCUGAGGU
rnacentral:rRNA from 1 species